rnacentral:rRNA from 1 species
GAUCAGCCGGGCUUCUGCCCGGCGCACUUCUCGGUGGAUGGGCCAGCAUCGAUUUGGCUGCCGGAAAAGGGUGAGGGGAAGGUGGCACCUCCGGGUGUGUUAUAGCCCCUUGUCGUAUACGGUGGCUGGGAUCGAGGUUCGCAGCACGCCUUUAUGGUCGGGGUUCGCCCACGCCACGUGCUUAGGAUGCUGGCGUAAUGGCUUUAAACGACCCGUCUUGAAACACGGACCAAGGAGUCUAACAUGCCUGCGAGUGUUUGGGUGGAAAACCCAGGCGCGGAAUGAAAGUGAAAGGUUGGGACUCCCCUAAACAAGGAGGCACCGACGCCCGAUCCUGACCUUCUGUGACGGAUUUGAGGCAGAGCAUGUAUGUUGGGACCCGAAAGAUGGUGAACUAUGCCUGAAUAGGGCGAAGCCAGAGGAAACUCUGGUGGAGGCUCGUA